AUUGAACGCUGGCGGCAGGCCUAACACAUGCAAGUCGAGCGAGCGGCGGACGGGUGAGUAAUGUCUGGGAACAUGCCUGAUGGAGGGGGAUAACUACUGGAAAAGGUAGCUCAUAACGCAUACCAUCAGAUGUGCCCAGAUGGGGUUAGCUAGUAGGUGGGGUAACGGCGCACCUAGGCGACGAUCCCUAGCUGGCCUUAGAGGAUGACAAGCCACACUGGAACUGAGACACGGUCCAGACUCCUACGGGAGGCAGCAGUGGGGAAGAUUGCACAAUGGGCGCAAGCCUGAUGCAGCCAUGCCGCGUGUGGGAAGAAGGCCUUAGGGUUGUAAAGCACUUUCAGCGGGGAGGCGUUACCCGCAGAAGAAGCACCGGCUAACUCCGUGCCAGCAGCCGCGGUAAUUC
rnacentral:rRNA from 1 species